rnacentral:rRNA from 1 species
CCUACGGGGGGCAGCAGUAGGGAAUCUUUCACAAUGGGCGAAAGCCUGAUGGAGCAACGCCGCGUGCAGGAUGAAGGCCUUCGGGUUGUAAACUUCUUUUAUAAGCGAGAAAUAUGAUGGUAACUUAUGAAUAAGGCUCGGCUAACUACGUGCCAGCAGCCGCGGUCAUACGUAGGAUCCGAGCAUUAUCCGGAGUGACUGGGUGUAAAGAGUUGCGUAGGUGGCAUAAUAAGUAGCUAGUGAAAUCUGGUGGCUCAACCAUUCAGUCUAUUAGCUAAACUGUUAAGCUCGAGACCGUUAGGGGUAACUGGAAUUUCUAGUGUAGGAGUGAAAUCCGUAGAUAUUAGAAGGAACACCAAUAGCGUAGGCAGGUUGCUGGGACGGUUCUGACACUAAGGCACGAAAGCGUAGGGAGCAAACGGGAUUAGAUACCCUAGUAGUC